CCGUCUGACCCGGGACCCGGCCACGUCACGCCGCGCCCCCCGCUCCCCGCCUCGGCAGCAGGUUAGAGAGGGAAGGAUAUGGGAGAGAGAGGGGCUCCAGGGGCACAAGGCAGCCGGGAAGGUUAAGGAUGCUGGCCAGGCAUCGAGGGAGCUCCAGAUUUUUCCACCAGAAGAAAGUCAAGACCAACAACAGCAGCAGCAUCUAAGCUGAAUUCAACAGAGAUUUGAUAAAAACCCUGGAGAUGGACAGAGGAAGCUUUUUUCUCCCUGUGGGCUGGGGGAAGGAAGACAUAGAAGAGAACUUGGAAACUAAUUCUAAAGAAGAAGAAGAAGAAGAAGAAGAAGAAGAAGAAGAAGAAUUCCUGCUCCUUUCCCACUUUCUACCUUCCAGGGAAUCAAACAUUUCCUGAAAGGGAACUAGCAUAAGGAUAGGUUUAUGUGCCUAAGUUUUUUGCUUGCAAAAAUUAGGGCUAUUUAAUGAAAAACACCUCAGUUGUAAACUCCUGAUUUAGGUGCUGGAUGGAAACCUGAAACUGUAAAUUCCACGCAUACCUCCUUCCUCAGAUUCUAAGGCACAUCAGAAUCCUGACUUGUUUCCCAUUUGCGCCCAGUCCUAAUCUAACCUAAAGGACAGUUUACAUAAACACAUUUUCUUUUAUUUUUGAGUAGUGAAUAAGGGAAAGUUUGAUUAUGAAAUGUCUGUACAGAACUGAGUUCUGCUGAAUUCAAAUUCCUUAGUCUAAGGAAAAAGCAUUUAGCAAGGAGUGGUAUCUCCAAAUACUGGGCUUAUGUCCCAAAAGGAUUCCCCAUCCAGGCUGAAUAAUUCUUCCUCACUUACAGCCUCCUUCCACAUACUUGGAUUGGCUCCACAGGGGUAGAACAACCCUGUAAGGUAGAUUUGUUGGACAGAGAGAAGAGCAGAAGAGGAAAAUGAAAUCCUAAAUUUCACUUAAUAAUUUUUAAUCAGAAAUCAUUCACAUUUUAGGGCAUAAGCAGGCAAAAUAUAUCUCUUAGCCAACUUAUUCCCUCCCACCCAAGCUGUUUUUGUUGUGUUCAGCCACGGUAGUCUCUGAAUUGCCCAAAACCUGGUCAAAACUAAAAGCUAAAUUGGCUCUCAUGGAAGCUUUCAUGGGACUUUUUUUUAGUAUGACAGAGGGCUCCAACAGAUGGGCCAAAUGAAGUGGCUUCCGGCCACUUUGGAGGCAUGCACCUUAAACGACGCACACCUCCAAAGUGGCUGGAAGCCAUUACAAAGCCGCACUCAGGUCCUUAGGACUGGAACAAAAAGGAACUGGGAUAGUCUGACUCCUGGCAGUGCCAGUUGGCCCCUGUGUCUACAGCUUCCCUUGGAAGUGAGCCAUGCAUACUGCAGUUCCAACCCAUUUCCAAGCUGGAGUGGAAUUGGGCCACUUUUUCAUGCCUGUCUGUUCCACCCCUAUGUGAAUAAUCUUUCACAUAUAUUCCAGUUUUGUUCACACUAUUUUUUAUCAGAACAUCUAUGUGCAUGUCUGCAUGUUCUGUUGCUCACACCUGAUAGCACUGUGAAUAAUGAUGGAGUUGAUGAUGCAAAUAUAUUUGAAACACGUUCGAGGCAUGCAGAGUUUUACCCUGGUUUAUCCCUGAUCUAUUUCCAUUGGUUAUUCACAUAGCUGACAAGUCAAAUCAUUUAAGAAAACUCAGAAAAAAGUGUGAGAUCAAUUAACCCAGUUUAAGUGGGGAGUUUUGGCAGCCCUCCCCCCUCCCAAAUUUGCUUGGGUGCAUGUGAACAAUAAAUUUUCAAUCCGCAUUCUACCAGGAUUAUUAUCACUGUUUGAAUAACCCGCAGGGGUAGCCAUUCAGCUUUUAACAGACUUCAAGAUUCGCCCGCACCCACCCCAUGCUCUUUAGCUUUUUUAAAAAAUCACCUUUCAAAAGUGGAAUUUCCAGCCACUUCUAGAUCCCCCCCACAUCCUCCCCCCCCCUCUUGUUUUCUUUUUGACAGUCUUUAUGGUCCUUGGAGUGUCAUAGGAGAACAAAACAUUGCUUAGUUCAACAACAUAUGUCCAUUCUUGGAAAUAAUAAAAAAUUGUGGUUAAUUAAAAUAAAAUGUUUCUGAUUUCCUUAUGGCCACACUGAACAGAAGAAAGGUACAAGUGUGCGUUAGUUUAAAGUUCCUGACCAUAACAAGAUCCAUAUAAAAAAGGAAUAUUGUGACACCCUAAAGCCAGGGUAAGAACCAUGUGGCCCUAUAGAUGUUGUUGUACUGCAGGCUCCAACAGCCCACUACCAUUGCCAAAAGUUAGGAACAUUGAAAGUUAAAGUUCAUCUUCUGGAGUGGUGCAAGAUUCCCAUUCCUGCCUUAAAGGCUAAACAUUAAGAAUAAACUCUUCUAGAACGUGGCCACAUAGCCCCAAAAAACUCACAAAUAUCUAUAAACACGUUUCAUUUAGCACAAACUUUUCUGAUCUGUAGAACCAACAAUAAACAUAUAGCCAGCCAAUGUGUAAGAGGCAAACUUCAGAGUUCAUGGAGUUAUUUCACAUAUCAUUAUGAGUUUGUAGAGAAAACCUUGCCUAUCUUCCUGAUUGUUCAAAGCUACUAUCCAAAAAACAAAACUUUAUGUUGCCAUUUUAUAUCAGGUGCACCAUUUUACUACACAAUUGUGUUUAAUGGGACAUGGGAAUCCACAGGGAGUCCAGGAACCAAACCCCAGUGGAUACCACUUUAUUGAAGCACUCAAGGUUUGUAAAUUAGGUUCCCAAAAAGUCAUUCUUUAAUAUUAGAGUAAUUAUCCUACUAUUCCAUAUUAACAUUAAGAAGCAUCACAGCUUAUUCAUACUUAUUGAAAUGCAUUUCUAAAUAACAAGUCGCUUGUUAUCCCGGCUCCAGGCACAAUGCAUUAGAAACCCAGGUAUGAACAUUUAAUUUUUGUGCUUUUCAGAACAAUGAAGUAGUAAAUCAAUUUUUAAAUGAGCAACAAAUAUAUUAUGCUAUACAGAAGAAAGUGAUGUAAUACUGUUAAUUUAUUGCUGUUACCUUUCUCAUUCUCAUUCCUGCCUUGCUAAAAUUUGUUUAUGGGUUUAAGGAAAUAAAAAAAUAUUGUUUGAAACCUGAAGGAUUUUUGGAGAGUGACCUCAUGGUUUAAAUGCCUAUCCAGAAAUGAAAUGGACCCAAUCCUCAAAAUUAAUUAUUAUAUGUUUGAUUUAAAUGGCCCUUCAAGACAUUAUCAAAAAAAUUAAAUUGUGAUCCUUAGCAAAUUUACUCAGAUGUAAGUCUCACUGAGUUCAAUGACAUAGUGCUUAGGACUGUGAUGAUACUAUUUGACUGUAUGUAAACAUCCCUCAGAUUAGGCUAUUAGUCUCUUUCUUCUGUGUAUUUGGCAUCUCUAGUUUAAAAACUGUAUUCAUUGUAUUCAUAUGUGCUUUGGUUUUCUUAAUGCAAACUGAUACUAUUCCAGUCUGAGUAUUAGCUAUCCAUUUGAAAUGUUAUAGUAAAUAGACAUCUGUGUCCUGAGAAAUCUGAACUUAGUUUACAUAGAUCAUUAUAUUGCAUAAAUUGAAGUAAAAUAUCAUUGGACAUUCUUAUAAAGUUCUAUGUAGUCUGAUAAGUUUUUCUAUCAUUUCAGAUAUGUCAUUUUGUUAUUAAUGUAAAUAUUUUCUGAAAUAAAUGAUUUUGCUUUACUUGCUUUUA